rnacentral:lncRNA from 1 species
AUGAACCCCAAGAGGCAAGGAUGACAGGAGCCAUCUUGAAGGCUGGCGACCACAGAUCCACACCUAACUCCAAACCACCAAAUUACUCGGAGUGUGUGUCGGGCUGCCCACGGUGCGGUGAGCCCAUGUGACUAGACCCCGGACGAUGGACUAAGAGGGAAGAGGACGUGCCUAAGUUCCGGGCUGAGGCCUUAAGAACCCAUGCACUCUUCUCCUGUUACUUUUCCCUGCGGCAACAAGCAAGGAGUCCUCAUUCCAGGGAGUGUGACCGCAUCGUGGUGCUAAUUCCCUUCCUUGCAGAAAAUGAAAUGACCAUAAUAACUCCAAGACAGAGCAGAAGGUUCAUCUGAGUCAUACCAAAUAACUUCAUUGCUGCUAAAGUAAAAUUUGAAAAUGAUUGAAGUGAUUUUUAUGAUCAGCCUUUUGGAAGUCAUUCAAAAGUGCUGCAAUGCUACUUCAAAGAAGAUAAUUCAAAUUUAAAUGUCACUCUUCAGUGUUGUUUAUCAACAGCUGAGUAUUAAAAUUGGUGAGCUUGAU